GCGGCAAAAGCUCAAAUUUGAAAUCCCCCCGGGGAGUUGUAAUUUGAAGAUUGCGUCUUGGAGGCGACCGUGUCUAUGUUCCUUGGAACAGGACGUCACAGAGGGUGAGAAUCCCGUGCGGCACGGCCCCCGGCUCCUUAUAAGGCGCUCUCGACGAGUCGAGUUGUUUGGGAAUGCAGCUCAAAGUGGGUGGUAAAUUCCAUCUAAAGCUAAAUACAGGCGAGAGACCGAUAGCGAACAAGUACAGUGAUGGAAAGAUGAAAAGCACUUUGAAAAGAGAGUGAAACAGCACGUGAAAUUGUUGAAAGGGAAGGGCAUGCCGUCAGAUUGUCAGUGUGGGUAAGAAGCGGGGUACAAAGACUGUGGAACGUGGCCCUCGGGUGUUAUAGCCGCAGUUCAUGCCCCGUCUCUUUCCGAGGCCUGCUUUGAGGACACCGACGUAAUGACGGUACGCCGCCCGUCUUG
rnacentral:rRNA from 1 species